AUUGAACGCUGGCGGCAGGCCUAACACAUGCAAGUCGAGCGGCAGCGACUUAUCUGAACCUUCGGAGAACGUUAAGGGCGGCGAGCGGCGGACGGGUGAGUAAUGCCUGGGAAUAUGCCCUGAUGUGGGGGAUAACUAUUGGAAACGAUAGCUAAUACCGCAUAAUCUCUUCGGAGCAAAGAGGGGGACCUUCGGGCCUCUCGCGUCAGGAUUAGCCCAGGUGGGAUUAGCUUGUUGGUGAGGUAAUGGCUCACCAAGGCAACGAUCCCUAGCUGGUCUGAGAGGAUGAUCAGCCACACUGGAACUGAGACACGGUCCAGACUCCUACGGGAGGCAGCAGUGGGGAAUAUUGCACAAUGGGGGAAACCCUGAUGCAGCCAUGCCGCGUGUGUGAAGAAGGCCUUCGGGUUGUAAAGCACUUUCAGUAGGGAGGAAGGUAGUGUAGUUAACACCUGCACUAUUUGACGUUACCUACAGAAGAAGCACCGGCUAACUCCGUGCCAGCAGCCGCGGUAAUACGGAGGGUGCGAGCGUUAAUCGGAAUUACUGGGCGUAAAGCGCAUGCAGGCGGCCUGUUAAGUCAGAUGUGAAAGCCCGGGGCUUAACCUCGGAAUUGCAUUUGAAACUGGCAGGCUAGAGUCUUGUAGAGGGGGGUAGAAUUUCAGGUGUAGCGGUGAAAUGCGUAGAGAUCUGAAGGAAUACCAGUGGCGAAGGCGGCCCCCUGGACAAAGACUGACGCUCAGAUGCGAAAGCGUGGGGAGCAAACAGG
rnacentral:rRNA from 1 species